CUUCAUCGUAAUUCGUGCGCCUGUGUGAAACCCCUUCUUAAACCCACAGAAACAUCAGAAAUAUAGAGCAGUCUUGGGACUGCCUCUAAAAGAAGAAGACAAAAAAUAAAGACAAGAAACAGAGCUUUCUCCUCUGAUGGUGUGUGUGUAUGUGUGUUAUAUAAAAGGGGUUGCGUCAGAAAAUCCUUUUGAAUGCAAGUUUUUUACUCUGUCUUUUCUCCUUCACUGUGGAAAACUAUUGAGACUAAUUAGGGUUCUUACCUAGUCAAGUUUAUGGCCAUGGCAUUGCUACUACAUUUUCUCCGUAGGUGGUUUUUCCUUCCCUUAAGGCCAAGUAGAUAUGUAGGAUUAAAGCUUGCUUCAAACAUUUUGAGGUGUUCAACAGCUAAACCUGGUUGAAUUUACUGUUCCUUUACUUUCCCUGGAACAUGUGAACCCUGAUCUUGUAAGUACAUUGUUACUUAAGUAGGGAAUGAAGCCACUGGUCCGCAAAGCUUGCCAAUCUUUGUAAUAUGUUGAAAAUACCCAUGGUGGGAUAUAAAGCAGAAACUUUCUUUUGCAUAUUAAAGCUACUCUUUUUUAUCUUUUCUGAAUUUUGACCUAUGUAUUUAAUUCAGUGGAGAAUCAACGCUCAAUUAGCUUGCCGGUGUGUGAUACUGCAAAAGGAUAAUUUGGUUUAUUACUUU